UACGGGGGGGGCAAGCGUUGUUCGGAAUUACUGGGCGUAAAGGGCGCGUAGGCGGCCAGCGCAAGUCAGUUGUGAAAUCUCCGGGCUUAACUCGGAACGGUCAACUUAUACUGCGCGGCUAGAGUGCGGAAGGGGCAACUGGAAUUCUCGGUGUAGCGGUGAAAUGCGUAGAUAUCAAGAGGAACACCUGCGGCGAAGGCGGGUUGCUGGGCCGACACUGACGCUGAGGCGCGAAAGCCAGGGGAGCGAACGGG
rnacentral:rRNA from 1 species